CCUCAGGAAAAUAAUAAGCUAAGUGGGUAUGUGUGUGUGUGUGUUUGUGCGAGAGAGAGAGAGAGAGAGAGUCAGGGCUGGUUACCAAGUGAAAGUGAAAGCACAGAAUGAUUCCGUAAUUUGUGUAACAGUUAUACUGAGCUCAGACUUGCCUGUGAGGAAGAUCAGCUUCAGAGGAAGAAAAUCGAACAAAAUGGGUGGAGGGAAUUCAACACCAAAGCCUCCAGAAGGAGAUGGGAGGAAACCCAUCGAGACACAGGGAGAACGAGUUAAGAUCUGAAUGAUCUUUUUAUUUGCAGACUUUGAUAAACCAUGGAGAAACGUGGACUGGAACGCAAAGGAACUCUUGAAAUCUCAGUUAAGUGGAUUUCAGUUUAACCAUCCAGGAAUCAGCCAAUUCAGAAUGCUGCUUCAUGGACCCGUUGGGGCUGGGAAAUCCUGCUUUAUAAACUCCACGAAGAGCGUCUUCAAAGGAAGAAUUGUAGUAAAGGCAGAGGAAGAGACAUCUGCUGGAAAGAGCUGCACAAAAACAUACAAAACUUACAAAAUCACUGAUGCAGAUUCUGUGACUUUGCCAUUUGUCCUCAAUGAUGUUAUGGGUCUGGAGGAACGUGAAGAAGAUGGAAUUCAGCCUGAAGAUAUCAUUAAAGCACUGCAAGGCCAUGUAAACGAAGGCUAUUAGUUUAAUCCUGCUUCUCCACUGAUUGAUUCGGACCCAGACUUCAUAACGGAACCCAGGCCAGAUGACAAAGUUCACUGUUUGGUGAGUGUAGUGCCUGCAGCUAGCAUCUCCCAAAUGGCAGAAGAUGUUAUUCAGAAGAUGAAAACUGUCAGGAAGAAAGCCGUCAGUUUGGGCAUCCCUCAUGUGGUUCUGAUGACGAAGAUAGAUUGUCUUGGUCCACUGGUUAAGAAGGAUCUAAGCCAGGUUUACAAAAGCAGGAAAAUCAAAGAAAAGAUGGAGGUAUGCAGCCAAAGACUUGGUCCACCAAUGAAAUGCAUCUUCCCAGUGAGCAACUAUUAUGAGGAGAGUGAAAUAAAUGAGAAAAAAGACGUGCUCAUUCUGAUGGCAUUAAAGGCAAUUGCAGGAUUUGUUAAAGAUUAUUUCGAAGAUGGUAACAUCUGAGUUAUCUUCUAAAGCACUCCCUCUUCCUUUUCCAUAUGAUAUAGGAUAUCUGCUAUGCUGCAGCUCACUUGUUCAUCAUUUUAUCCAUGUAAAAAUUCCACAGUAGAGAAAAGCAAUGUGUCUGCUCAAGGUAAUGCCUCCUAUUAUGUCCUGUUACAUGUUACAUGUGACACCUUGUCCAGUUUAGCAGUAUCUUAUUAUGUAAUUUUGAUAUUUUGUCUUUAUUCUUCAGUGAAUGGGAAUUAUUGCAUUAAUAAACAUACCACUAUAA